UCAUCCUUACAGUAUCAGAUUCCCUAAAACACAACAAGCGACACAGACCGAUGUCUCUGUCUGCACGUCUGGGAGUAUAAAUUGGGUGUCCUUAAACCUAAACCUGUUUAUGGUUUUACUUUCAUCUGCACUAUUCCUCACUUAUAAACUUCAAAAUAAGCAAGACGGCGGAGGUACAUCUUCCAGUCACUGGAGAAAAAGACGUGUUUUCAGCAAUUCAAGAGAACCUAAAGGAAUCUGUUUCCCUCACAUUUUUUUAUUUGAGAUUCGGUGCACAGAGUCAGCAUGGUAACUGACCACGGACAAACCUUAUUGCUUUGGCUCUGUCCUGCCUUCACCUUUGCAUCAUUGUCCAGUUUUGUGGACCUGGUAGUGAAAGAUAAGAUGACAGCAAAGUAUGACAACAGAAUCACUCUGAACUGUAGCAUAUCCUCAAAAGAAGACUUGGGAGACGUUGAAAUUAGUUGGGUACAUUUUGAGAACAAUGACAUACUGUGCAAUUACAACAGUAAGGAUGAAAGAGCCACCCACCACCAGCGAGCUGCAUGCACCUUUGGAGACCUCCAGCUGUCUCUCACUCUCCAUCGCUUCCUGCCGUCAGACGAAGGGAUGUACAUUUGCAAAUUGCGAUCGAAAGCUGGAAUGAAACACACAAACACAACAGUGCAGCUUCAAGAUCAAUUCAGCAGGUUUCAAUAUGCACAGUCUUCUUCACAGCGGACAUGUACUUUCUAUGAAGUUUACCCUCAAGGAGAAGUGCACUGGUUUGAUGAGGACAGAAAUGUGACUGAAGAUGUUGUUUAUAGCUCUAGCAACAAAACCAAGAACGGGCUUUUCAACAUCACAAGUACGUACGACACUGGAGAUGACAGAGCUCUCAGCUGCUGCCUUUGGAUCCACAGAGCAGGAACAUGCUUGACAUGCCAAGAGAUCAAAUGGUCAAGUAAGAGUAAAUAUCUGACAGGUUCUGCUGCUUCAGUUGACGCUCUGCAUACUGCAGCAGUCGUGUGUGCAUGGUUCUUCAUUGCUCAGUGCUUGUGCUUUUAACUUUCACGGUUGUGGGCAGGGUGACAAUUGCAUUUCCUCUUCAAAACCAGGCUCGUCGGACUAAACAGCUUCCACCCGUCGUGAAUUUCACAAGCGGCACAAACACAACUGGACAGCGCAAAAAGUUACUUUUUUAACUUCACUCACAUACAGCCUAAGUAUCAUAGUGAUCUAGUGUUUUUUUAUUCAUAACUUGAUAUCAAGUGUCAGGAUUGCACAAAUUGCAUUUUGUUAAAGCCUCAAGGCUAGAUAGUGUUGAUUCCCUGAUGAUGUGCGUUUUAGUUAAUGCAGAACCAUAGCGUGAAAAACAUAGGCAUGCUUGCCAGUAUAAUAAAUGAAGGCACUUAAGCAAGGAUAUGUUUCCAUGGGCUACUGUAAAACUCAUUUUCAAGAAUGAAACUACAGCAAUGAAGGCAAAGUCGUCUUCAUGGAAAUUGCACAAACACUAUCCAGCAAUAUAGAGGACUGCUUUGUCUCUGCGUGAUGCUAUGGUAACCCAUUCAAAAACCUUACUGGUUUUUGUACUGUAAUGCACAAAACAUGAUGUUUUCAGACUCAAGGCUAUCACAAAACUGUCCCAUUAUACAGCUCAGAAUUAAACAUAUAUAAAUCUAUGAUGCAGUAUACUGAAUAUCCUACAUGCUCCAUAACUAAAAAAGAAGAGAUCAGAUUUGUAUACUCUUGUGCCCUCCGGUGGCAGAAACUGGUCACAGCACACUUCCGCAGCACCUGUCAAAGUACUGCCUGGGUCAUCUGGAAUCCCUCCUUGAAAACACCACCAAAAUAAUCAAGCAACUCUUCUGCCCAGUUGUAAAACCUGCCUCCCUACUUUUGUCAUAAACACACUUUAACAAAAAAUUCCAUUAGCUUUCAAAUAUCUCAAUCGGAUCCCUUCAAUGCCUUAUAUUAGUGUCAGACUUUAGAGAUUUACAUUUACUGUAUAGGCGUGCCAUAAUAACCCUUGUCUAGGAAUUAUUCUGCUCACACAUUGGCAAACCCCAGGGCAACAAAGGCUGUUUACUGAGCUCUUCAUUCCAAACCGGGGCAGACACGCAGUUCACUGUGCAAUUGUAAUCCAAGCGAUUGAAUAAAGCCCAUUGUUAACACUGG